rnacentral:rRNA from 1 species
AGAAUCAACGCUGGCGGCGUGCCUAACACAUGCAAGUCGAGCGAGAAAGUGGGAGCAAUCCCACGAGUAAAGUGGCGCACGGGUGAGUAACACGUGACUAACCUACCCUUGAGUGGGGGAUAACCUAGGGAAACCUGGGCUAAUACCGCAUAAUACCUACGGGUCAAAGGAGCAAUUCGCUUAAGGAGGGGGUCGCGGCAGAUUAGUUAGUUGGCGGGGUAAUGGCCCACCAAGACAGUGAUCUGUAUCCGGCCUGAGAGGGCGCACGGACACACUGGAACUGAAACACGGUCCAGACUCCUACGGGAGGCAGCAGUGGGAAUUUGCGCAAUGGGGGAAACCCUGACGCAGCAACGCCGCGUGGAGGAUGAAGCCCCUUGGGGCGUAAACUCCUUUCGAUCGGGAAGAUAAUGACGGUACCGGAAGAAGAAGCCCGGCUAACUUCGCGCCAGCAGCCGC